rnacentral:rRNA from 1 species
GACGAACGCUGGCGGCGUGCCUAAUACAUGCCAGUCGAACGCACUCUCGUUUAGAUUGACGGAGUUUGCUCCUGAUUGAUAAACAUUUGAGUGAGUGGCGGACGGGUGAGUAACACGUGGGUAACCUGCCCUAAAGUGGGGGAUAACAUUUGGAAACAGAUGCUAAUACCGCAUAAAACCUAACACCGCAUGGUGUAGGGUUGAAAGAUGGUUUCGGCUAUCACUUUAGGAUGGACCCGCGGUGCAUUAGUUAGUUGGUGAGGUAAAGGCUCACCAAGACCGUGAUGCAUAGCCGACCUGAGAGGGUAAUCGGCCACACUGGGACUGAGACACGGCCCAGACUCCUACGGGAGACAGCAGUAGGGAAUCUUCCACAAUGGACGAAAGUCUGAUGGAGCAACGCCGCGUGAGUGAAGAAGGUUUUCGGAUCGUAAAACUCUGUUGUUGGAGAAGAAUGUAUCUGAUAGUAACUGAUCAGGUAGUGACGGUAUCCAACCAGAAAGCCACGGCUAACUACGUG